rnacentral:rRNA from 1 species
ACGGGUACGGGGAUUAGGGUUCGAUUCCGGAGAGGGAGCCUGAGAAACGGCUACCACAUCUAAGGAAGGCAGCAGGCGCGCAAAUUACCCAAUCCUAAUACAGGGAGGUAGUGACAAGAAAUAACAAUACAGGACUUUUUGGUUUUGUAAUUGGAAUGAGUUAAGUAUAAACCCCUUUACAAGUAUCAAUUGGAGGGCAAGUCUGGUGCCAGCAGCCGCGGUAAUUCCAGCUCCAAUAGCGUAUAUUAAAGUUGUUGCAGUUAAAAAGCUCGUAGUUGGAUUUCUGUUAAUAAUUUAUAUAAAAUAUUUUGAUGAAUAUUUAUAUAAUAUUAACAUAAUUCAUAUUACUAUAUAUUUUAGUAUAUGAAAUUUUACUUUGAGAAAAUUAGAGUGCUUAAAGCAGGCAUAUGCCUUGAAUACUCCAGCAUGGAAUAAUAUUAAAGAUUUUUAUCUUUCUUAUUGGUUCUAAGAUAAGAAUAAUGAUUAAUAGGGACAGUUGGGGGCAUUUGUAUUUAACAGUCAGAGGU